rnacentral:tRNA from 1 species
GCAGAUGUGGUUCAAUGGUAGAAUGCCACCUUGCCAAGGUGGAGACGCGGGUUCGAUUCCCGUCAUUUGCUCCA